UUUGCGGGCGCAGCUACCAUGCAGUCGAGCGGUAACAGAUCCAGCUUGCUGGAUGCUGACGAGCGGCGGACGGGUGAGUAAUGCAUAGGAAUCUGCCCGAUAGUGGGGGAUAACCUGGGGAAACCCAGGCUAAUACCGCAUACGUCCUACGGGAGAAAGGGGGCUCCGGCUCCCGCUAUGGGAUGAGCCUAUGUCGGAUUAGCUAGUUGGUGAGGUAACGGCUCACCAAGGCCACGAUCCGUAGCUGGUCUGAGAGGAUGAUCAGCCACAUCGGGACUGAGACACGGCCCGAACUCCUACGGGAGGCAGCAGUGGGGAAUAUUGGACAAUGGGGGAAACCCUGAUCCAGCCAUGCCGCGUGUGUGAAGAAGGCCCUCGGGUUGUAAAGCACUUUCAGCGAGGAAGAACGCCUAGCGGUUAAUACCCGCUAGGAAAGACAUCACUCGCAGAAGAAGCACCGGCUAACUCCGUGCCAGCAGCCGCGGUAAUACGGAGGGUGCAAGCGUUU
rnacentral:rRNA from 1 species